rnacentral:tRNA from 1 species
GUCUUCGUGGUGUAGUGGUCAGCACAUUGGGUGCGUAUUCGAGAAGUCAUGGUUCAAUUCCCGGCGAAGACA